rnacentral:miRNA from 1 species
GUCUGUGUGUGUGUGUGUGUGUGUGUGUGCGUGCGCGCGCGCGCGCGCACGCGCGCACUCUCUCUCUCUCUCUC